rnacentral:rRNA from 1 species
UACGUAGGGUGCAAGCGUUAAUCGGAAUUACUGGGCGUAAAGCGUGCGCAGGCGGUUGUGCAAGACCGAUGUGAAAUCCCCGGGCUUAACCUGGGAAUGGCAUUGGUGACUGCACGGCUAGAGUGUGUCAGAGGGGGGUAGAAUUCCACGUGUAGCAGUGAAAUGCGUAGAGAUGUGGAGGAAUACCGAUGGCGAAGGCAGCCCCCUGGAUAACACUGACGCUCAUGCACGAAAGCGUGGGGAGCAAACAGG